rnacentral:rRNA from 1 species
AACGAACGCUGGCGGCAUGCCUAACACAUGCAAGUCGAACGAGACCUUCGGGUCUAGUGGCGCACGGGUGCGUAACGCGUGGGAACCUGCCCUUAGGUUCGGAAUAACUCCCCGAAAGGGGUGCUAAUACCGGAUAAUGUCUUCGGACCAAAGAUUUAUCGCCUUUGGAUGGGCCCGCGUUGGUUUAGUUAGUUGGUAGGGUAAAAGCCUACCAAGGCGACGAUCCAUAGCUGGUCUGAGAGGAGGAUCAGCCACACUGGGACUGAGACACGGCCCAGACUCCUACGAGAGGCAGCAGUGGGGAAUAUUGGACAAUGGGCGAAAGCCUGAGCCAGCAAUGCCGCGUGAGUGAUGAAGGCCUUAGGGUUGUAAAGCGCUUUUACCCGGGAUGAUAAUGACAGUACCGGGAGAAUAAGCUCCGGCUAACUCCGUG